rnacentral:piRNA from 1 species
UGACUGUCAAUAUUUAGCUCAACAAGAAGA